GUUUUGGGUCCAAGGAUAGGAAGGAAGCAUCUAAUGAUUAUCAGUAUGUUUUCGAAGAUGGGAUUGAUUUCAUCAAGGCAUCUGUCAUUGAUGGUGUAGAGUAUGACGAAGAGCUACUCGCUGAGUCACGGGAUGCUUCAAUUGCGAACUCUAUGUUAGAAAAAUUGCAGGAGGAUAGAAAAACUCUGCCCAUUUACCGUUUCCGUGACGAGCUUCUCG
rnacentral:misc_RNA from 1 species